rnacentral:rRNA from 1 species
GCCUCAGUAACGGCGAGUGAAGCGGCAGGAGCUCAAAUUUUGAAUCCGGGGUCCCCGACCCCCGAGUUGUAAUUUGGAGAGGCAUCCUCCGGGAGGAGCGCUGGCCCAGGUUCCUUGGAACAGGACGUCACAGAGGGUGAGAAUCCCGUGCCAGGCCGGCUUCCUCCUCCAGGGUGGAGGGCCUUCGACGAGUCGAGUUGUUUGGGAAUGCAGCUCCAAGUGGGUGGUAGAUUUCAUCUAAAGCUAAAUACCGGCGGGAGACCGAUAGCGCACAAGUAGAGUGAUCGAAAGAUGAAAAGCACUUUGAAAAUAGAGUCAAAAAGUACGUGAAAUUGUUGAAAGGGAAGCGCUUGAGGCCAGACUCGGACCCGAGCAAACAUCGAGCCCCUCGGGGCCGUGCAAUUGCUCUGGGGACGGGCCAGCAUCGGUCGGCGUGGCGGGACAAAGGUGCGGGGAAUGUGGCUCCCCCCGGGGAGUGUUAUCAGGCCCGCGCCCCAUGCCGCCGACGCCGACCGUGGACCGCGCCCCGCUAACGGGCUAGGAUGCUGGCAUAAUGGCCUUCAGCGACCCGUCUUGAAACACGGACCAAGGAGUCUAACGUCUAUGCGAGUGUUUGGGCGUCAAACCCUUGCGCGGAAUGAAAGUGAGCGGAGGUGGGAACCCCUAGCCGGGCGCACCAUCGACCGAUCCUGAUGUCUUCGGAUGGAUUUGAGUAGGAGCAUAGCUGUUGGGACCCGAAAGAUGGUGAACUAUGCCUGAAUAGGGUGAAGCCAGAGGAAACUCUGGUGGAGGNUCGCAGCGGUUCUGACGUGCAAAUCGAUCGUCAAAUUUGGGUAUAGGGGCGAAAG